rnacentral:rRNA from 1 species
CGGGCAUGCCUAACACAUGCAAGUCGUACGAGAAAGCCGGCUUCGGCUGGUGAGUAAAGUGGCGCACGGGUGAGUAACGCGUGGAUAAUCUGCCCUUAAGUGUGGAAUAACGUACCGAAAGGUGCGCUAAUACCGCAUAAUGCCUGGCAACACAAGUUGUCCGGCCAAAGAAGGCCUCUGUUUACAAGCUUUCGCUUCAGGAUGAGUCCGCGUACCAUUAGCUUGUUGGUGGGGUAAUGGCCUACCAAGGCUGCGAUGGUUAGCUGGUCUGAGAGGAUGAUCAGCCACACUGGAACUGAGACACGGUCCAGACUCCUACGGGAGGCAGCAGUGAGGAAUAUUGCGCAAUGGGGGCAACCCUGACGCAGCAACGCCGCGUGAGUGAGGAAGGUUUUCGGACUGUAAAGCUCUGUCGAGCGGGAAGAAGUGUACCAUGGCUAAUAUCCAUGAUAUUUGACGGUACCGCUAGAGGAAGCACCGGCUAACUCCGUG